rnacentral:lncRNA from 1 species
GUGGGGAGAGGAAGGCCGAGGGAGGAGAGGAAGAGAUUGGAUCCGGCGCCCUGCUAUGGGUGUCUCCAUCUGGGCUGCUGCUAGAAGGGGCGGUUGUUCUUUUUUUCUUUUUUAGACGGAGUUUUUUUGCUCUGUCACCCAGGCUGGAGUGCAGUGGCAUGAUCUCAACUCACUGCAACCUCCGCCUCCCAUGUUCAAGCGAUUCUCCUGCCUCAGCCUCCCGAGUAGCUGGGACUACAGGCAUGCACCACCACACCCAAAUAAUUUUCUAUUUUUAGUAGAGACAGGGUUUCUCCACAUUGGUCAGGCUGGUCUUGAACUCCCGACCUCAGGUGAUCCUCC